rnacentral:lncRNA from 1 species
UGACUUGAAAGGGUAGAUAAUUUUAUUGUUUGGAAAGAGGAAAGAAGUCAGUUGGAAGGUGGAUGCUUUGCAGACUCGUGCAUUGUACACUAGAAUCAUUGAAGCUGCUCAACAAAUGACUGCUGUCAAUAGGUGAUCAUUCGCGGCAAAGUAAUUACCCCCAUCCCAACAUUCUUCAAUGAAUCUAAUCGCCUACGGAUUAGUUAACAAUGGAGCCCAUAGCACGUAGAUUGGAAUUGUUGGAAGAGGAGAGUGCGAAAUGGCGAAAACAUUGUGAAGAUGAAGAGCGGAGAAUAGAAGAGGAAUAUCAGCAGAGUUUGGCCGAAAUUCGGGAAAGAUUCCGAAAAGCUUCUAAAGCAAUUGAGUUGGAGUUUGCAGCUAGGAAGGAAGAAGUAAAAAGGCAAUUUAGUGAUGAAGGUUUGAGAGAAAAAUCUGCCUGCACUACUUCUCAACCAGAAGCAAACAAUCGUCAUCCAGCUUCUACAGUACCGUCGAAUUGUAUUGUUCAAAAACGUACGAUUGAUGUUAGGAUUGUUGUGCGGAAGGCAGUAAAAGCGCAAAACAAGGGCGAGAAUGAUCAAAACGAUUGGAUCAGUGUAUGGAAUUUACCUACCUACAAACAUAUUGAAAUCAGAGGAAAUCACCGGGCUAGGCAAUCACAGUUUGGAAGGUACAUCAGCAGAGAAACAAACGCAGUGUCGAAAAAACAAAGGUUUUUUGCGAUAGCGGUGUUUGAAGUUUAUGAUCCCGGCGGAAUAUUAUAUGAGCAAUUCGGACGGAAAAAGAACAAUGAACGGCAGUUCGACAGUGCUGACUGCGGGUCGCCAGUAUUGUGUUGUUUCCAGAUUAUCGCCAUUCCAUGUGAAUACAGCAAUCACUGUUCAGACCGGUUACCAGUUUCACGGGAGGGAGACUGUUGUGGAGAAUUAUUGGUGCUGUGAAACUGGCAACACUGACUUGAGAGGGUAGAUAAUUUUAUUGUUUGGAAAGAGGAAAGAAGUCAGUUGGAAGGUGGAUGCUUUGCAGACUCGUGCAUUGUACACUAGAAUGUAAGUAAUUU